rnacentral:lncRNA from 1 species
GGUUAGGAUUUGGUUUAGGAUUUAGGAUUUGGAUUAGGAUUUGAUUUAGGAUUUAGGAUUUGGUUGGGAUUAGGUUUAAGGUUUGUUUAGGAUUUGAUUUAGGGUUUGGUUUAGGGUUUGAUUAGGGUUUAAGAUUUAGGGUUUAGAUUAGGGUUUGGUUUAGGUUUAAGAUUAGGGUUAGGAUUUGGUUAGGAUUCUAUUUAGGAUUUAGGAUUUAGGGCUGGAAUUAGGGUUUGGUUUAGGAUUUAGGAUUUGAUUGGAGUUUGAUUUAAGAUUUGUUUAGGAUUUGAUUUAGGGUUUAAGAUUUUAUUAGGAUUUAAGAGUUAAUUAGUUUGGACCUAAAGUUUGAAUGAAGUUCAAUAGGAUUUUAACUAGAAUUAAAUUAAGAUUGAAUUGAGAUGUAUUUGAAUGAUAUUUAUGAUCCUUCUAAUAUUUUUUUAAGAAUUCUUAUUGUUUGUUUGAAAUUUCUGUGAGAUUUUUUUGAAUUUGAUUAAGCU